CUGAUAAUUGUUUUAAGAUAUGUCUAGAACACUAGAACAAUUUUAAAACCCUACACAACCUUUUGGCAAAGCUAUCUUGUAACCUCAUAGGUAUCUUAAAAUAACUCUAGAAGCCAAAAGUUUCCUUAUCCUCAACUACCCUUGAACCUUAGCAUUGUUUAUCCUAAAUUAGCUAAGCAAUCCUAAAGCACCACACAAGGACCCAUGAGUUUUCCAACUUUAUCUUAAUUUAAACGAGUGCGCUUGCACUUACGAGGGGUAGUGCUUGUUUCCAACUGCAU
rnacentral:lncRNA from 1 species